CAAGUGCGGCCUUGGGGAAGAGAUCACUAUUGGAAUUACUCAGAAUGUCAAGAUGCGUUUUGAGUGGAAAGAUGGAAAGCUUGUUCAGCAUAUGCAUCCGACCACGAUGAAGAAGGGUACAAUUGAAUACUCCCUCAAUGACAAAAGCCAACUAUUGAAGGUAUACAAGUACAGCCCAGAAAAUGGUGGCAGUGAUGUGACAGCUACUAUCAAGUUUGAAAAGGCCAAAUGAACAGACAUUCAACCAUACAAUGUGUUUGUGUUCAAUGUAACAGGUCAUUAACUCACAGGUGGAUAUGAGAAUGACUUUAUUGCUUGAACUAUUGUAACAUCAAACUACUGUUUGCAAAUGAACUCAGCACUUUAAGGUUUAGAAGCAUAGAA